rnacentral:lncRNA from 1 species
GUUGGAAACACGUUCUCAAUGCGAUAUACUAAACGUGUAUUAUUUUGUAGGUUUUGAUGAAUGACAAACAAAGCACAAAUUGAUAUAUGACGGAGUUCAAGUAUAAGAGCACAAAUGUUGAGAUUGAAGCUCAAGACGUUGUUUUUAAUUGUUAUUAUUAAGUUAUUCUUAAAUGUGAUCUUGAUCCUAUAACUUGACUCCAUAACAUGGCUUCUCUCAUAAAACUAUUUUCCAAAAUCAUGCAUACUUAUUUCUGUAUN